GCGCCCGUAGCUCAACUGGAUAGAGCAUCCGCCUUCUAAGCGGACGGUUGCAGGUUCGAGUCCUGCCGGGCGCGCCA
rnacentral:tRNA from 1 species